rnacentral:rRNA from 1 species
AUAUCAGUCGGCGGAGGGAAAGAAACUAACCAGGAUUCCCCUAGUAGCGGCGAGCGAAGCGGGAAGAGCCCAACUUGAAAAUCUGUUGCCUUCGGCAAUCGAAUUGUAGUCUAUAGAAGCGGCCUCUGCGUCGGACCGCGCCCAAGUGCCCUGGAAGGGGCCGUCAGAGAGGGUGAGAACCCCGUCGGCGCGGAGCCCGUCGCUCCACGAGACGCUCUCGCAGAGUCGGGUUGCUUGGGAAUGCAGCCCAAAUCAGGUGGUAAAUCCCAUCUAAGGCUAAAUACUGGCGGGAGACCGAUAGCGCACAAGUA